UGUUCUGUGGCUUAGAUGUUUAAAGCGAUAGUCUUUCGAAUACGGAGUCGUGGGUUCAAAUCCCACAAGAACGC
rnacentral:tRNA from 1 species